AAAAAGACAAACCUUGGGUUUUCGUGUCCAACGUUUGACCGUCCGUCUUAUUUGAAAAAUUUAUGAAAAAAAUUAAAAAGACAAGUCACGCAUAAAGUAUUAAUCAUGUUUUAUCAUCUAACAACAAUGAAAAUACUAAUUAUAAAAAAAUUUUAUAUAAGACGGACAGUCAAACGUUGGACACGGAAACCCAGGGUUUGUCUUUUU
rnacentral:pre_miRNA from 1 species